UACGGAGGGUGCAAGCGUUAAUCGGAAUUACUGGGCGUAAAGCGCACGCAGGUGGCUGAGUCAGUCGAUUGUGAAAGCCCUGGGCUUAACCUGGGAAUUGCAGUCGAUACUACUCAGCUAGAGUAUGGGAGAGGGUAGUGGAAUUCCACGUGUAGCAGUGAAAUGCGUAGAGAUGUGGAGGAACACCGAUGGCGAAGGCAGCCCCCUGGGCUGAGAUUGACGCUCAGGCACGAAAGCGUGGGGAGCAAACAGG
rnacentral:rRNA from 1 species